GAUUGUUAUUUUACUCUGAUGCUUUUGCAAAAGUGUUUUGUCUUCAGAAAGAUUCAUAGAAUGGACUUUGCUGGUAAUUUUAAGAUCAUAAAACUGAACCAGGUAAGAAUCACCAGAACUAAUGGUCAAACUGACCUGCUCAAACUGACUUGCUAAAUCCUGGACUAGAAAGCCAAUUAAAUCAGGAACUCAGUGCAAAGAAAAUGGAGCUCAGGGCAGAAAGGGGAUCUACCUAUGGCCCUUGGAAACCACGAGAAAGACUGCAAACUCAAAAGGUUUAUGGGAUACCGCACCUGUUUCUGGUUAUCUCUGAAGCCACCAGAAGCCUCCUUCAGUCCAACCACUGCCACCACAUCUGUUAAACAAUAAAAAUGCAACCAAAGAUCCAUGCAGGAGAGGGGAUUCUGGUCCAAAGUCUCAUUCUAGCUGACUUCUGCCAGUUUCCCCAGGACCCUAUCUGCAGGCUCCGAAUAGGCUUUAAAGAAGAGGAUGCAACUCUGCUAUUUACCAGAAGUUGGCAAGGGGCCUUGAGUUCCAGGGGGCAGAAUGCUUCCAUCUGGAGACACAGCAGUAAUUACCCUGAACUGGAGGUUCACAUGGCCACUUUGGACUCCUCCUGCCUCUGAAUCGACAGGUGAAGAAGGGAGUUACUGUGCUGGCCUAGGUGGCUGAUCUGGAGUACCACCGAGGAGAAAGUAGACAGCCACUCCACAGUGGACAUAGGGGACCUCUCCGGAUGUGUGUCAUAUCACCAACUCCUGUGAUUAAGGUAAAUGGAAGAGUACAACUGUCCAGUCCCGCCAGGACCAAUGAUGGCUUACAGUAUUUAUGUAACAGGAUGUCAAGGAGGAGCAUAAACAUCACUCAAAAAACAUCCCCUCCUCCUCUGGGGAAGGGCUUAGUGAGGUUUUGGUUGUAUACAGGAUAGUAGCAUCACAUGAAGUAUGACCUUCUUAUUGCCUUCAUAUAGAGCAUAUGAAGCAUAUAGAGUAUGGCUUAAGGAGAUGGUUAUGGGUGCCAAGUAGAUAAGGGGUGACCUGGUGAUGUUUAAUUGUAUAUGUCAACUUGACAAGGGCCCGGGGUGCCCAGACAUCUGCCCAGAUGUAAUUCUGGGUGUGUCUGUGUAAGUGUUUCUGUAAGGACCUAUUUUAUAUUUUUAUUUUAGCCAGAG